rnacentral:lncRNA from 1 species
UCUCAGGUCGGAGGGAUAUUUAUACCCAUAUUCCAUCGGAGCAAAUCUUGAUAGCAGAAAUAGCUCCGGAGUCGGUCACGUUCAGUGCAGAUGUACCCUUACAUCUCACCUAUAUGCCAUACCAGUGUCUCCACACUCAUUGGUUAAGAGGACAACCAACCUAUAUGGCACACAACGACCUAUGCUUGAUAAACAUUAUCGUCCUUGGUAACAACGUAUCAUUUGGUCGUAAACAGAUUUAAGGACUAAAUGACAAAUCCUCCUUUGUCGAGUCUAAAUAGUCCUAAGGACUUCACCACAACAUAGGAGUUCAUUAGAAGAUGAAAUAUUUUGUGAUGAAAAAUACCAAAAUAAUUUUUUAUUAAUUCAUAAUUUAUGUACAUAUACAAAAAUGAGCACAAC